rnacentral:rRNA from 1 species
UACGGAGGGGGCCAGCGUUGUUCGGAAUUAUUGGGCGUAAAGGGCGCGUAGGCGGUCGAGUAAGUCUGACGUGAAAUCCCUUGGCUCAACCAAGGAACUGCGUCUUAAACUGCUCGGCUUGAGUCCGGGAGAGGGUAGUGGAAUUCCCAGUGUAGCGGUGAAAUGCGUAGAUAUUGGGAGGAACACCAGUGGCGAAGGCGGCUCACUGGACUGGUACUGACGCUGAGGCGCGAAAGCGUGGGGAGCAAACGGG